AGUGCAAUAACUGAGUCAAAUGUUAGUUCCAUCCCUAGUUUUUUGAGGAAUUUCCAUACUGUUUUUCAGAGUGGUUGCACCAUUUUGCAGUCUCACCAACAAU
rnacentral:pre_miRNA from 1 species